rnacentral:misc_RNA from 1 species
GAUGAAGAACGCAGCGAAAUGCGAUAAGUAAUGUGAAUUGCAGAAUUCAGUGAAUCAUCGAAUCUUUGAACGCACCUUGCGCCCUUUGGCUAUUCCGAAGGGCAUGCCUGUUUGAGUAUCGUGAACACCUCAACUCUCAUGGUUUGCCAUGAUGAGCUUGGACUUUGGGGGUUUUGCUGGCCUUUGGUCGGCUCCUCUCAAACGGAUCAGCUUUCCAGUGUUUGGUGGCGUCACUGGUGUGAUAACUAUCUACGCCUGUGGUUUUCUGCCAGAUAACCUUCAGCGAUGGAGGUUCGCUGGGGCUCAUAAAUGUCUCUCUUCAGUGGAGACAGCUUUUUGGACGUUUGAUCUCAAAUCAGGUAGGACUACCCGCUGAACUUAAGCAUAUCAAUAAGCGGAGGA